UACGAAGGUGGCAAGCGUUACUCGGAAUUACUAGGCGUAAAGGGCAGGUAGGCGGUUUGAUAAGUCCGUUGUGAAAGCUCCCGGCUUAACCGGGAGAGGUCAAUGGAUACUGUCGAACUUGAGUAUAGGAGAGGGUACUGGAAUUCCUGGUGUAGCGGUGAAAUGCGCAGAGAUCAGGAGGAACACCAAUGGCGAAAGCAGGUACCUGGACUAUUACUGACGCUCAGCUGCGAAAGCUAGGGGAGCAAACAGG
rnacentral:rRNA from 1 species